UUAGAUGUGAUAAUAGUAUUAUGGUUUUGUGUCUUAUAUAGAUAUGAACAGAAUAUACAGAAGGAAGGGUGUGUCUGUUGUUUGCUUUAAGUUAAUAUAGGAGCAGAGAGAGAGGUGGAAGUAUCUGUGAAAUGAGAUUUGCCAUGAGAUGAAAAUUCAUAUGGGGAUGAGGAUUCAUCAUACUUUCAUCUACUUAUUUAAACAGCAUUAUUGAGCUAUAGUUGCCAUACAAUGAACUGCACAUAUUUAAAUUUGUCUACUUUUUAUAUAUAUGUAAACUUUUCUAUAGUAAAAGUUUAAAGACAAAGAUUCUUUAUAAUGGCAAUCAGUCCAGAUUUCUAAAAGGGCAGGCCUCUAUCCAUUUAGAAAAUGAGGGGCCGGCCCUGUGGCCAAGUGGUUAAGUUCAUGCACUCCGCAUCAGUGGCCUGAGCUGCAGACCUACACACCACUCAUCAAACCAUGCUAUGGUGGCGUCCCACAUAGAACUAGAAUGGCAUACAACUAGGAUAUGCAACUAUGCACUGGGGCUUUGGGGAGGAAAAAAAAGAAAAGAAAAGAAGCAUGGUCAUUACAUCCCUUUGUCCUGAGAGUGUGAAAGCGAUCCAUUGGUAAGUCUAGGAAGAAAUUUAGGGGUCAGGUCCCAUCGCUAUAAUUUUCUUAACAGAUUUCUCUACGUCAUGUCCUUCAAAGAGAUUUGAAAGAGAAUUUGCAAAACAUUUGGGACAAACCAUGAAAUUUUUAAAAACUGCUUUAUUUCAUUUUAAUUCACCAAUUUUAAGUGUACAGUUCACUGUCUGCAGUGCAACCAUCAAUACAAUCCAGUUUUGGAACAUUUCCAUUGGCUGUAAAAUUUCCCUCCUCCGAAUUUGUAGUCAAUCUCCACUCCCACCCUUAACCCCAGACGGCCAAUGCUUUGCUUUCUAUCUAUACAAGUUUGACUUUUCUAUACAUUUCAUAUAAAUGGAAUCAGGCAACAUGUAGUCUUAUGUCUUCUUUCGCUUGGCGUAGUGUUCUUGAAUUUCUCAGUUAUUCGUUCCUUUUUAUUUCUGAGCAAUAUUCCAUUGUAUGAUGGACCACAUUUUGUUUACCCAUUCACAAGUUGAUGGACAUUUGGAUUCUUUAUAUUUGAGGCUAUUACGAAUAAUGCUGCUAUGAAUAUUCAUUUAUAAGUCUUCUGUGUGGGCGUGUGUUUUCAUUUAUCUUGGGUAGAUACAUAAGAAUGAAAUUGCUGAGUUUCUUUUUAACAUUUUAAGAAACCAGUAAGCUGUUAAGUGGUUGUACCAUUUUACAUUCCCACCAGCAAUGUGUGAGAGGUGCGGAUUUUACACCACCUCAUCAACACUUGGUAUUGUCACCUUUUUAACUUUGGCCAUUCUAGUGGUUGUGUAAGAGGAUCUCAUUGUGGUUUUAAUUUAUAUUCCCCUAAUAAAUAAUGAGCUUAUUAGAUAUUUGUAUAUCAUCUUUGGUAAAGUUUCUAUUUAAAUUUUCAAAAGUUUUGCCCAUUUUUUCUGUUGGGUUGUCUGUCUUCUUGUUGAGUUGUAAGAGUUUUUAUAUAUUUUGGCUAAAAGUCUUUUAUCAGAUAUAUAUUUUGCAAAUAUUUUCUUCCAGUGUGUUUCUUAAUGACGUCUUUGGAAGGACAAAAGUUUUUUUUUCUCCCCAAAUCCCCCCAGUACCUAGUUGUAUAUUGCAGUUGUGGGUCCUUCUAAUUGUGGCAUGUGGGAUGCCGCCUCAGCAUGGCCUCAUGAGGGGUGCCAUGUCCACACCCAGGAUUCUAACCCAUGAAACCCCAGCCCCAGAAGUGGAGCGCACAAACUUAACUGCUUGGCCAUGGGGCCGGCCCCGAAGGGCAAAAGUUUUCAAUUUUGAUAAGGUCCAGUUUAACUUUCUUUUUCAUUUAUGGGUUGUGUUACUGGUGUCUUUAUCUAAGAUAUCUUUGUCUAGCCCAAAGUAACACAUUUUAUCCUAUGUUUUUUCUAGAAUUGUAACAGUAUUUAAACACUCUUUAGGUGUAUGAUCCAUUUCAGUUUAACUGUCACAUAUGUAGGAAGGAAGGUUCAAGCUUCGUUGUCUUGUAUAUGGAUAAUCAGUUGUUGUAGCACACUGGUUUAAAAGACUGUACUUUCCCCCAUUGAAUCACCUUGGCUCCUUUGUCAAAAAUCAGUAGAGCACACAUGUGUGGGCUGAUUUCUGAACUCUCUUCUAUUCCAUUGACCUCUCUGUCCAUCCUUAUGCUGGUAUCAGCUGAUGUGAUUACUGAGCUUUACACUAACUGGUGUUUUCUACAUUGACUUGUCUUUCCCACCCUUGCUCACCAGAGACAGAGAAGCAGCAGCACAUAGAAUUGGGUGGAAUAAUCAGGAAUCACCACGUGAACAUCAGAGCUUGCCACACAGUAUCUGGAUAUGAAAGAUAUCCUGCUCUUCCCACAACUUUUCUUCUGCUUUUAGGGACCUGAUCUUAGCAAAUCUUCCCACCAGGUUCGUCUUCAAGAAUGCCUUGACUCUUCUUAGACUUGAUCUUUGUAUAAUUUUAGAAUCAGUUUGACAAGAUCCACAAGAAAGAUUACAUGAAACUGCACGUGAUCUAUUGAUCAAUUUGGAAAAAACUGGCAACUUGAUAAUGUCUUCCGGUGCACAAGCUUGGGGUGUCUCUCUAUUUACU
ensembl:lncRNA